GACGAACGCUGGCGGCGUGCUUAACACAUGCAAGUCGAACGGAAAGGCCCUGCUUUUGUUGGGUGCUCGAGUGGCGAACGGGUGAGUAACACGUGAGUAACCUGCCCUUGACUUUGGGAUAACUUUAGGAAACUGGGGCUAAUACCGGAUAUGAGCUCCUGCUGCGUGGGGGGGGUUGGUAAGAUUCGGCGGUUGGGGAUGGACUCGCGGGUUAUCAGCUUGUUGGUGGGGUAGGGGCUUACCAGGGCUUUGACGGGUAGCCGGCAUGAGAGGGUGACCGGCCACAUUGGGACUGAGAUACGGCCCAGACUCCUACGGGAGGCAGCAGUGGAGAAUAUUGCACAAUGGGCGGAAGCCUGAUGCAGCAACGCCGCGUGCGGGAUGACGGCCUUCGGGUUGUAAACCGCUUUCGCCUGUGACGAAGCGUGAGUGACGGUAAUGGGUAAAGAAGCACCGGCUAACUACGUG
rnacentral:rRNA from 1 species